rnacentral:sRNA from 1 species
UUGAGGGCUACAAUUGGACUUGCAUCUUCAAAAAUUGUAGUGAGCCCUCUAAUAAGGGUAAAAAGAUUGUACCUGAAGAUCGAGAAUAGAAGUAUAGCGAACUCCUAGUAUUUGAUUAAUAAAGUUGGUCGGAUGCAAAUUGAGGUCAAUUAUAAUGUUUAAAAGUGAUGAAAGGUGAAAGGAAUAGUUUGAGAUAAAAU